rnacentral:rRNA from 1 species
CAGUCGCCGCGGGAAUACAGAGGAUGCAAGCGUUAUCCGGAAUGAUUGGGCGUAAAGGGCUCGCAGGCGGUUUCUUAAGUCUGAUGUGAAAGCCCCCGGCUCAACCGGGGAGGGUCAUUGGAAACUGGGAAACUUGAGUGCGGAAGAGGAGAGUGGAAUUCCACGUGUAGCGGUGAAAUGCGUAGAGAUGUGGAGGAACACCAGUGGCGAAGGCGACUCUCUGGUCUGUAACUGACGCUGAGGAGCGAAAGCGUGGGGAGCGAACAGGAUUAGAUACCCGCGUAGUCCCUGUCUCUUAUAC